GCCUGCUUGUUGUGUUGCGUUAUAAUGUGGGAGAGUUAAGGUUAGGGCAUAUACUCUCCAUUGUCAUUACAGAGGACAAGACAAUGUUUUUUAUGCUGAGAGAAAAAGUAGCUGAACUUAUUCCUAGCCUUGGAAUCUAUGAAAUUAAGGACAGUAUGAAUAAUAUUACAGGUCCAAAGCUAGAUGGUCUUGCAGAGUAUGUCCCUCACAAAUGUUUCCAUAGAGGUGCCAAAAUCUUUUUUCCACUUAAGCAUCGUUAUGUCGCUAUGGAUGCCAUCCAAGGUUUAAUCAGUGGAGCUCUGCCAUUGCUUGUGGGGAACCUCCUUGAUAAAGUGAUUGAAAGACUACAAGAAAUUGGUGUUUCCCAAAUCGAUGACCUAAAUUUGGUACAAUCGAAGAUCUUGAAGGUGUCCUGAAGCCAAUACAGUGUCGCAGGCUGAUUAAAGCAUUCUCUGCCGUGCAGUUUUGAGAUUGUGAAACCAAGUAAACUUUGCAGAAGAGCGCUCUAAAAAGGCCAAGUGGUGAAAGACUUCAUUCGAACAAGAGAAGCAAGUGCUGGUGAAAAGAUGAACCAAGGACCUUUGGAAAUGCUAAGAUGCCUCACAAGUUACUUCAAGGAAGCAACUGUCCUGUUGGUUGCAGACAAGGAUGGCCAGAAAGAACUACCCAGCACUCCUUGCAUCAUUGUCAUUGGGUCUCCUGGGGAUCAACACUGAACGUGGCUCAAAAGCUGAAUCGAAGUGCAAGAAGCACUUCAAAAUCAAU